AUGAAACUCAGUUUACUAUGCAGUGCUGCAUUCUGCUUCCUGCAAGCAGGUCCAGUGAGUACUGGCAUUAUUCAGACUCCCAAAUCGAUGCUCAUGAAGACAGGGCAACAUGUGACAAUGAAAUGUACUCAGGAUAUGAAACAUGACUCCAUGUUCUGGUACCGACAGGAUCCAGGGCUGGGGCUGAGGCUAAUCUACUACUCCUAUGAUGUUGGCAUCACUGACAAAGGAGACGUCCCUGAGGGGUACAAUGUUUCCAGAUCAAACACAGAAGAUUUCUUCCUUAUUCUGGAGUCAGCAUCCCCCUCACAGACAUCUGUGUACUUCUGUGCCAGCAGUCUCCUUCUGAGAUUCAGCUCAGGUCAUAGGAAAGGGAUCCUUUUGGUCUGUAAACAUGCCUUCAUCUAUGUACCACCUCACUGCUUGACUACAGUGACCUUCCUAGUACAACUGUACAAUGGUGGCUAUUUUAUUUUUUUCUAA